AGCAGCCGCGGUAAUUCCAGCUCCAAUAGCGUAUAUUAAAGUUGUUGCAGUUAAAAAGCUCGUAGUUGAAUUUCGGGAUCAAUAUGUUGGUCGUGCCUUGGUACGUACUGGCAUUAUCGAUUCCUACCUUCUGAAGAACCUCGAUGUCAUUAAUUUGGUGUCUUGGGGAAUCAGGACUGUUACUUUGAAAAAAUUAGAGUGUUUAAAGCAGGCUCGCGCUUGAAUACAUUAGCAUGGAAUAAUGAAAUAGGACGUUUGAUUCUAUUUUGUUGGUUUCUAGGAUCGACGUAAUGAUUAAUAGGGAUAGUUGGGGGCAUUAGUAUUCAAUUGUCAGAGGUGAAAUUCUUGGAUUUAUUGAAGACUAACUACUGCGAAAGCAUUUGCCAAGGAUGUUUUCAUUAAUCAAGAACGAAAGUUAGGGGAUCGAAGACGAUCAGAUACCGCCGUAGUCUUAACCAUAAACUAUGCCGACUAGGGAUCGGAUGAUGUUAAUUUUUAAUGA
rnacentral:rRNA from 1 species